UACGUAGGGUGCAAGCGUUAAUCGGAAUUACUGGGCGUAAAGCGUGCGCAGGCGGUUUUGUAAGUCUGUCGUGAAAUCCCCGGGCUUAACCUGGGAAUGGCGAUGGAGACUGCAAGGCUAGAGUUUGGCAGAGGGGGGUAGAAUUCCACGUGUAGCAGUGAAAUGCGUAGAGAUGUGGAGGAACACCGAUGGCGAAGGCAGCCCCCUGGGCUGAGAUUGACGCUCAGGCACGAAAGCGUGGGGAGCAAACAGG
rnacentral:rRNA from 1 species